rnacentral:misc_RNA from 1 species
CUGUAAACGGUUCAAAGCUGCUACUCGCUGAUUUAAAGUUGUGAAAAAAUCUUCACCACGUGGUAGGAUAUCUGAAAUGAUAACAUUGAUAUUCGGGUUCAAAGUUUAAUAUCCUUAGAGAGGCAAUCGUACUUUUUAAGAAUAACUUCAACAUUGUCAUUCGAAUUGUUGGUACCAACAUGUACCAAAAUCAAAUGGUAUCGAUUGUCCAAAAAGGAUUUAACCUUUCUAUCAUUGCACCAGGAAAAGAAUGUAAAUCUACUUCAUAAUUCAGAAGAUUCGCAGGUAAAUAUUCAUCCAAAUAUUUAACCAUUGAAUCUCCAAUUAUAAGCAAUUUCAUCUUUUUUGGUUGCAUAUCGGCAAAACAAACACAACUACAAAUCGAAACACAGAUCAAUAAUUUGGUAAUAUAUACUGUAAAUAAAAUGCAACUAUAAAUUAAAUGAAAAUCAAAUCAAACACUAAUCAUAAAUAUAACAAAAUACAAAUAAUUAUUAAUAGAAAAAAAAAAGUAAAUAGCUCAAGUAAUGCGAGAAAAAUGGCGCAAAAAAUACACACCUCACUCGCGCUAAUAUUAACACGUGAACUAAAUUCGCGCCAAUUCUUCAGCUUGCGGAAAAAUUUACGGAAAAAAAAAUAACGCCAAAUGCUCGCCAAGCUUUGUUGCCAACAGAGAUAUCAAAGGUACAUAUCCGGUGAUGACGUAGAACACACUUCCGGGUUCCGAUUUGCGGAAUUCUGUAAAACUCAGCUUCGAGCAAUGUAGAGGUGAGACAGACUGGUUGCUAUGCAAUAAACGUCACUUCCGCACGGAAUCUCCACUUCAUUUUCCGCCGACGGAAUUUGAAGGGGUCAGACUCGCUCUCCCAUUCGCUGUCGAGUGGAAAGAGAAUCCCGACUGGUUUUCCGAUAUCGAUCUCGACAGGUGUCCAGACUAGACCCCUUAGUUACGGGUUGUGUUACUUAGGAAGGAAGUAAAAAUACGCUUCCAGACUAGGCGAUAAGCUUGAAUUUUCGACCUGCGGGCAGAAAGACGUAGCGGGUGCAAAGUGAGAUAUCUUUGUUGUUUGUUUUCGUAAAAUCAUAAAACAUGUUGGAAAGCAUGCAGACUUAAUAACUUCUUUCUAAUUUGAGAAAGAUAAAAUACGCAUGAGAUACAAAUUAUAUUUACUUAUUUAAGUAAUUAUCUACAUGAAAUAGGAGGAUAUAUAAUUAUAUACAAUUAUUACCAUAUGAAUUACGAUUCAAAUGUAACAUUAUUAUUUAAGGUUAAUUUAAAACUACUAAAAAUUUCAGCUGAUUGAAAUCGACUUUGAAUGCUCUCACUUCUGUAUAUAAGUCUAAAAGGGAGCUAGCUGUAAAAUGAUUCUUGAUGCUAUUUACGAAGUAGAUGAACAAAGUGAUUGCCCAGAUAACAAGAGGGUAUCUGUUAACAAUAAGCCUGCUAUUUUUAAGCAUAAAGAUAAUGUUGAUAUUAGUCAAGCCAAAAAAGAAAUUGAAAUUGCAAAGGAAGAAUGGGAUCAAGUUGGAUCAACACCUAAAGCAAUUUUACCUGUUCAUCUUCAGAGUGUACCAGUUUCAUGCGAUGAAGUGUUGAAUUAUUUUCGUUCAAAGAACAUGAGCCAAUAUUUGAAAUGCAUAAAACCUGUAAAACAAAGAAAGGGUUUAGAAGCUUUAAAACACUGGAUUAUUGGACCACCAAAGUUACAUAGCAGUUUGGUAUCUGAGAGAAACUUAUUAUUUGCUAUUGCAAUGUGUCCUUUUGAUACAAGUGAUGAGAUUCAUAUGAGAGUUCUGCAAACUUUGUACAAAUCUUUGACUGGAGCUGAGAAAGAUUGUCCUCGUUAUGGGAAACAUUGGGAAGAUGUUGGUUUCCAAGGUAUUGAUCCUGGAACUGAUCUGAGAGGGGUUGGUUUUCUGGGACUUAUUCAUUUACUUUCAAUGAUUCUGAACCCAGCUACUGCUGAACUUGCUAAAGAAAUUUCUACUGUAUCAAAAACUGAGAAACAGAAUUUUCCCUUUUGCACCAUGGGAAUCAAUAUAACAAGAAUAGUUCUAGAAACAAUGCGAGAGGAAGUUCUUAACAGGGAAUGCAAUAGGAAAAUGGAUGUUUUUCAAGUUACCAAUGAUUUUUAUGCUGGUGUAUUCCUUCAUUUGCAUUUUAUUUGGUGUGAACAGAAUAAGACAAUCAUGGACUCAGGAUAUGUAAUAAAAGAUUUAAAUACUUUCGCAAAGAAACACUCAGCUGUGAUAUUUAGGGAAUUAUUCAGUUACAUUAAAGAGAAAAAAAUUCCUGCCAAAAAGUCUGCUGCAGUUGUAGACUUUUCUAAUAUCGGUGAUAUCACAGGUUUUGUAAAAACUUGAUCAUGAUUUUCUAUCAUUUUUGCUUCAUUUGUAAUCUAAAAAAAAAGAUAUUUUUGCACUUUCCUAUUGAAGGCCAAAUGAAGUUAUAAAUGAUACAGAAAUCUGCUGUGGUUUAGUGGUUGUGUGAACUAAGAUGCAUUAAAUAAAAAAUUUCAUUUGAUAUGAAACACAGUAAUGGGGACAUGAAGCAUCCAUUUGUAACCAUAAAUAACAGAAAAUAAAUUGCAUUUGAUGCCUGUUCCUAAAAUUCUAAAAAUAUUUUGAAUUAUUUAUAUUGAAGGCCUACAAUUUGCUGUAUUAUUUAUUCUUUCUUAUAUAUCAUUUUACUUCAACUUUGUCCUAGGAUUUUAUUUUGAUUUAUGGUAGGUUGGUUAUUAAAUGAAAUUUCAUUUAAAUGAAUCAGUAAAAAUCAGUUGAAGAAAAUGAUAAGCUAAGUUUUAAAAUUGAUAUUCUAAUCAUAAUUAUUUAGUUAUUUUAAUGUAAUGUAAAAUUAAACUGAAGACAUGUACAUACGUGCUUUGUUGGGAAAAUUUUCUAGAGUAAAACUAAUUUGUUUUCUAGUGCAAUAAAUGUACAGUAAAGCAAGCUUGUUGACUUGAAUUGCUAGUUUUACUUUAUUAGGUUGUCCCAAAAUUUUAUUUCAUUUUAUUUGUAAGUAAAACAUCCAUAGUAUUGUAUGUUUUAAUGAAACAGUUAUAUGCAAUAGGUUUUGCUCUGUUAUAUUCUUUCAUCUUUCCAGAAGCUGCCAGGAAUGCUAUCUUUCCAAAAUUUUGUCAUUUGCUUGCAAUUCCAAAUAUACUUUUAUGUCAUUGACAUAUACUUUUUAUUGCAAAGAUAAUUAUAUAUUCUAAAUAAUUUUCUUCAGUAAAUAUUCCCUUCAUAUAAAUAAUAUUAUUUUUAAUGCACCAUUUCAAUUACAUUUUAUGUCAUUUACUGAUCUAACAUUUUAUUGCAAAUUGAAUUAUAUAAUGAAAGAAACAGAUAUUAGUUACAUGGGGCAAUAUUCCAAGAAUAUGGAGUUCGAGAUAGAACUUGUCAAAUGUUAACAAUUUGUUUCUAAUGGCUAAUGACAUAUGGAGCCUGAUAUUGUGGCACUUCAUCUGUGCAUUAUUGCCAUCAUUUUUAACUGAUUGUUUCUUUUAGUUUUCUGGGUUGGAAACAGCAUUUCACUGAAUUUGUUCAUCUCAUGGAAGCAUUUUAUCAUGUAUGAUGCCUUUCUGAUCCUUCCAAGUUUACAAGAAAAUUUUGUGUGAAGUUUGAUGCUUCCAAAGUUUGAUGUUUCCAAAGACUUAUCAUAUCUGUAUCCAAAGUGUUUAUGGUUAAAAUUUUUAUAGUGGGUUCUAGUUUUAUCUCCAAUUACUGAUCUCUUCAAGAAUUACUCUUGUCUGAAUUUGCUGAAAAAUCAACUACUCAUAUGGGGAAAUAUAAAGAGUUUAUUCUCUGCAGUAUGAUGGAGAAUUUAUAUUUCUGAGUGAUUGAUACAGCUGAGCCUUUUUCAUUUGAUUGUGUAUUGAUGUCACAUAAUAUUUCAUGCAUCAUCUGAUUCAUGAAAAUACCUGUAUUUGUAGUCAAUGAGUAGCCACUGAAGUCUUUAUCCUCCAGGUUAAAAUUCCUAGCUUGAGAUUUCUUAAAACAAGUAGGAAUUAUUUGAAUACUUAUAGCAUCACUUUCAUAAACUAUGCAAAUUUUAUUUUCAGUAUUUUUUCACUGUAUCAUUCACCAUUUUUACAGUAUGUACUUUGUUAUAUGUUUUGAUUUCUCAUGAUUCUAGCCUCAUUAUUUAUGUAUUCUUUUAGCUGUGAAUGCUUAAAAGCUUCAUGUCUCAAACUACAUUAAAUUACUCAGGGUUAUAAAAAUAAAUAGAUAGGAAAACAUGACACUGUGAAUACCUUGCAGACUUUCUGUAUGUUUUUGAUUUAUUGCCAUUUAAUCAAAGCCUGAGCAGUACAUUCAUUUCAAAAUGAAUCUGCUCAUCUUGUGGUUGAUAAACAGUGCAAAUUCAUAAUAAGUUGAUAUAAACUCCGUCCAUGCAUUACUUAUCAAGGAAAAAUCAUGCAAAAAUAUUAUUUUUUUAGAUAUAUAAUUAUAUUUUCUAGAAAUUCAUCAUUCUUUGUUAACUUAAUUACAAGUCACAUGGUGCAUAAAAUAAACAUAAAUGUUUGAAACUACUAUUUAGACAAUAUUUUUGUGAAUUAUAAUUGUGCACUAAAUUAAAAAAAAAUGUAAUAUGCUUUAUUGUACAGUUUAUUUAACAUUUAAAAUUUGUUUAAUUAAAAUGAAAGCUUUUAAAAUUUUUUUAACAAUAAUUCUUAUUUUUAGUAAAAAUAAUAAAAAAUAACCAAACCUGCAAAAAUAUAUAUUGUCUAUGAAGGAUAUAUAAAAUAGGUUUAGUAAUCUUAACUAUUAAUAAUUUAUAUUGCUGUAUGAAUAUGUUAGUGCUUAUGGAAAAUAUUUGAGUGGAAUGUAAUAUAAGUAAAAAUUUGAAAAUUGGCACAUUUAUAUACUUUUUAUAUGAAAUAAAUUUGCUGCCCAUGUGCUUAUGAAAUUUUAUAUUUAAAUAAAUGCUUUACGUUUUGAUCUGUUGAUAUUUAUUAUGUAGAAUUUUUUGUAAAAUGUGACUGAAAUAAACAGUAGCAGAUAAUGUGUUUAGAAAGUUCCUAUUUUAUACUUUAAUAUAACCUUUGAUCAAUUGAAUUAUAAUUAAUCAAGACUAUUUCUGAAUGGUUGGUAUAUUGUUAUAAAUUAUGUGUUUAGUUACAGGUAAUUAAUAACAUAUUUUAUUUUUUUGUAUUUAUUAAAUGAUACAAAAUCAGUCAUUAUAUGUUGGCCAUGUUUUAUAUUCUUAUUUUCAAAUUAAUUUUUUUAGUCUUUUUAUGUGAAUUUAUGUGUAUUUUCACAUUUUAUGAUUGCUCAAUUUUUUAAAAGUAUAUUUUUGUGUCAUUUGCUCAUAUAAAAGUUGCUCUACCUCUAUGUAGGGAAAUGUUUAGCGUAAUAGCAAUGCCUUUUUACAGCAGUUUUCAAAAUUCAUAUGUGCAAUACUAGUUAUUUCAUAUUAGCAUAUUAUUAUUUGUGCUUAGUAUUUUAAUCUCCUAUAUAAGCAUCACUCUGAAAUUUUGAUAUACACAUAGACUUUUAAUGUUUUAAACUUAUGAAAUUUUAAAACUGUUUAAAGUAGUCUCUUCCAGCAUCAAUGCAUUCCAACAAUGAAUGCUGACUUCUACUACUUAUGUUGAUAAAGUGAAGAACUGGCAUUUAAACAACUAUCACUGAUCAAUUUCCAAAGCGUUAUCUAACAUCAUGAUGGCAUCAGAUAUUAUGCUGUUUUAAGUACUUGACAAAAUUUACUGGUACUUGAAUUGGGAAGUAUUAACCUACGAGUAUAUGCUAGGCAAAUUUUUCAAAGAUUAAAUGCCUCAGAUCAUUCGUUUCGUGAAAUCAAUGAAAAAAAUGCAUUUUUAGCCUCAGCAAUUUCAUCUUCAGAAUUCACAUAAGCUCAUUUUUGCAUUAAAAAAUAGCCAAAAGUCGCACAUAGCUAGCUUGGGUGAAUAGGGUGGAUGUUCUAUCACUGGUGAUCUUGCUAAAUGAGAAGAUGCAUUGUCAUAGCGGAGCAUGAUUCCUUUAACAUUCACUACUUGAAGAAUUCCUGGAAGAUACUUAGUGGUGUACCAGUUAGCUGUGACUGUCUUCUGUCCUUUCAGCUUGAUGGCUUUGACCAGUCCUGUAUUUCUGAAAAAAUGGCAUACAUUUCUUUUUCCAUGGCACAUUGUCUUUUCACCAACCACUAUGGCCAUGGGAUCAUCUUCUAAGACCCAUACUUUAUUUUCUUGAUAUAUUGGAACAUCAAAAAAUGACAUCAUCACCAGUUACGAUUUUUGAAAUAAUACGGUGGCCACCAUCUUUAAGUAAUUUAAGGGUUUCUUUACUGAUUCUAAUAUGGUUCUCUUUUUGUUGCUCAGUUAAAUUAUGGGAAACCUGAGGCAAACUAGUUUUUUCAUAUGCAGUUCUUCAUGAAUAAUUUUAUGUAUGGUGGUGUAUCCCAUGUUAAGUUCCUUCUGAUUUAGUAUGUGCCUUGAUUAAAGUUUUUCCAUAUAGCAGACACAUUAUCUGGGAUUACUGCUGACAACAGCAUUCCUGUGUGUUCUUCAUCCUAAAGACAGUUACAACCUUUGAGAAAUUCAAUAAAAUAUCUGAAUGCAGUAGCAUGAGAUAGACCUUCAUUCCAAAAUGUUAAUUUAAUUGUAGAUGUUGAACACAUUCUUCUUGAUUUCAUCCCACAUUAAAAUCAUAGAAAAUCGCAGCAUGAUGAUGUUCUCGCAUCAACUCCAUUUUUCCUUCUGCCUAAAAUUUAUUCUUUGCUGAGCUCCUUGCAACUGGAUGAUAAAAAAUCAUUUGCUAGGCUAAAAUAGUUCAUAUUUUCAAAUAUAACCAUUAACUUUUUUCUUCCAUUUAUUGUCAGUGUGUCUCUCAAAAAUUUUAAAGUAACCUACUUAUCUAUAAAUAUAACCUCUAUUUUUAACUUCUUACAUUUAUAUCUAUAAACAUUAUUAUUCAAUUAUAUGCAAAUGCUUUUUCUUGGCAUUUUCGCUUUCAUCUGUGUUGCAAUGGAUUAUACCUUAAUGUACAAAUGAUACUUAUCAUAUCCACAUUAUGUUUUUAAUAUGCAUUGAAACUUAUUUUUUUUCAGUUUUAAAUGCAAAUGAAGUUAAGUAGCCUACAUACAAGAUAUAUCAUCUUGUGUAGAAUAUUUUUUUCCCUGCUUUCUUUCUCUCCCCCCCCCCAUUUCAUUAAAAUUUUUAACUAAAAGGGUUAUGAAUUAAUUUAGUAUAACUUUUCUGACUGAAAUGAAACGUUACUGUGUGUGUAAAAUAAUAUAUUUACUUUAUCAACUACUGCUAACAUAUUAAUAUAUAUUUAUAUUAACUAUACUACUUAUAACUAGAUUUUAGUGUGAUAAAAUAUUAACUUUUUGAACAAUUUUUGUACGAUUUAGUUUUUAAUUUCAUAUUCUUUAUUUUUUAAAUACCUUUUGAAGUUUUUUCUAAUUAUCUGAGUGACAUACUUUUUAGAUCUGCUCAUGAAAAGCUGUUCAUAUACAGAAUUAUUCAUUUACAUUUUUAGAUGUUUCUUUAUUCUUCUGCCAUGUAAUUUAGAAUAACUAUUUGCAUAGGAUUUUUCAUAAAAUACUGGCAUGCAUAUAGCAGUGAAAAUUUAUUAACUUUCAUGUAAACUAAUUUGAAUUUGUACAAAAAUUAAAUUAUGGACAGACAUGUAACGAACAUGCAAAUAAGGAUUUGGUGUUAGUAGAUAUUAUUACAUAUUUUAACAUCAUGCAUUCUGUCUUUAUCAGUUAAGUGACAAAAGGUGUAAUUUGUGUAUUUAUUAAAUUAUGUGAAAUUUCUUGAUUGAAAGUUAUUGUUUUGCAAAGCUGAAGAAACAUAACCUUUACAUGUUACUAAGGAUGGCUUCUCAUAUGUUAUACAUUUUUUAAAAACACUAUUCUCAUUUCUGAUUGAAAAAAAUAUUUUCUUGAAGUUACCUUAUAAAAAGGUAACAUAUUGAAUGAAAUCAGGUAUCAGAAUUUUAUAUAUUUUAAAACUUUUCACAUUAAAAAUUUCCAUAUUAAAAAUAAAUAGAUAUUUAUUAAAUGUUGGUUGUGUAAGCGUUUGACAUGCUGAUGAUAAAGCUUGUAUUUAGCUAAGUAUCGAAUAUGAAUAUUAGAUCAGAAUUAUAUUCUAUGAUAUCAAUUCUAUUAAGCAACAUAAUGGCUACUUUUGUAUGAAUUAACAUAAAAAAUUAAUUCCUCAUAGCCAAAAAAUUUAUUUCAGCAACCGAAUCUAAUUUAGCAAAUGUGAAAAAAAAUUCCUUCAAAUUUCAUUCUUUGAUAUUUGGAUUGUUAAUUCAAAAUUUCUAUUAUCAUAAAGAUUACUCUGACAUUAGGCUGCCUUUCUAAAUUUGAACCAAUGAAAGAAAAGAAAUUUUAAAAGCUUGUGCAAUUCUUUACAAUUAUACUGCAGUUCAAAUAACAAAUUCAGUGUAUUUUCACUGAAAUAACUCAAAACAUUCCAUUUAUGUUAUUACUGUGCAUGAAUUUUUUUUUUCCAUGUUUAGUGUUUAAUAGUUUGGAAUAUUUAUAUUCUAUCUGAAAGUUUGUGUGUAAGCCAUAAAAAUUUCAUUUGAAUAUGUAUUUAUGUAAAACAAUCUGUACAUGUUUCUAAAAACAGAAUAAUGCAUUUUAUGUUCUUUGCCAAAUGUAAUGUGAUCAAGAAAUACUGUUUUAUAUUUCACAUGGAUGUAUGUAAUUGUGCAAAUUUUUUCAAUUUCUUAAGUUAUAUAAUGCAAUAAUAAAGUAAUAGAAAAGAAAA